rnacentral:rRNA from 1 species
AAGGAGAUAGGGGAGUCUUCAUGGCCCGACCUCCAACCCUCUGUUGUUAAAACUACCUUGUUGCUUUGGCGGGACCGUCUCGGUCUCCGAGCGCACUAACCCUCGGGUUGGUGAGCGCCCGCCAGAGUCCAACCAAACUCUUGUAUUAAACCAGUCGUCUGAGUAUAAAAUUUUAAUUAAAUUAAAACUUUCAACAACGGAUCUCUUGGUUCUCGCAUCGAUGAAGAACGCAGCGAAAUGCGAUAAGUAAUGUGAAUUGCAGAAUUCAGUGAAUCAUCGAAUCUUUGAACGCACAUUGCGCCCCUUGGUAUUCCGAGGGGCAUGCCUGUUCGAGCGUCAUUACACCACUCAAGCAUCGCUUGGUAUUGGGAACGGUCCGUCGCAAGGCGGGCCUUCCUCGAAGACCUCGGCGGGGUUCAACCAACUUCGGGCGUAGUAGAGUUAAAUCGAACGUCUAAUAAGCAUGGUCGGAUCUCAUUGCCGUUAAACCUUUAAAUUUUCUAGGUUGACCUCGGAUCAAGUACGGGAUACCCGCUUU